rnacentral:rRNA from 1 species
UACGAAGGGGGCUAGCGUUGCUCGGAAUCACUGGGCGUAAAGGGUGCGUAGGCGGGUCUUUAAGUCAGAGGUGAAAUCCUGGAGCUCAACUCCAGAACUGCCUUUGAUACUGGGGAUCUCGAGUCCGGAAGAGGUGAGUGGAACUCCGAGUGUAGAGGUGAAAUUCGUAGAUAUUCGGAAGAACACCAGUGGCGAAGGCGGCUCACUGGUCCGGUACUGACGCUGAGGUGCGAAAGCGUGGGGAGCAAACAGG